rnacentral:rRNA from 1 species
UACGUAGGUGGCUAGUGUUGUACGGAAUUACCGGGUGUAAAGGGCGUGUAGGCGGGGCUGCAAGUCGGAUGUGAAAUUCCCAGGCUCAAGCUGGGGGCUGCAUCUGAAACUGUGGUUCUUGAGUGCUGGAGAGGAAAGCGGAAUUCCUAGUGUAGCGGUGAAAUGCGUAGAUAUUAGGAGGAACACCAGUGGCGAAGGCGGCUUUCUGGACAGUAACUGACGCUGAGGCGCGAAAGCGUGGGGAGCAAACAGG